GACGAACGCUGGCGGCGUGCCUAACACAUGCAAGUCGAGCGGGGAUGAAUGAAGUGCUUGCACGGAUUUCAUUCUAGCGGCGGACGGGUGAGUAACGCGUGAACAAUCUGUCCUAAACAGGGGGAUAACAACUGGAAACAGUUGCUAAUACCGCAUAAGACCACGCUUCCGCAUGGAAGAGGGGUAAAAGGAGCAAUCCGGUUUAGGGUGAGUUCGCGUCCCAUUAGCUAGUUGGUGAGGUAACGGCCCACCAAGGCAACGAUGGGUAGCCGACCUGAGAGGGUGAUCGGCCACACUGGGACUGAGACACGGCCCAGACUCCUACGGGAGGCAGCAGUGGGGAAUAUUGCGCAAUGGGGGAAACCCUGACGCAGCAACGCCGCGUGAAGGAAGAAGGUCUUCGGAUCGUAAACUCCUGUCCUCAGGGAAGAGUAGAAGACGGUACCUGAGGAGGAAGCCCCCGGCUAACUACGUG
rnacentral:rRNA from 1 species